rnacentral:misc_RNA from 1 species
UCCAACAGCGUUUGUCUCUUGAUUUCCUUCUCUCGGACCGAUUUUAGCGUAUCGCUGAAGUCCAAUUGGAAACAACAGACCUGAAGCUUCCGGAGAAACAGGUUUUGCCGUUCCGAUACGGGCACAUCCCGGAAUUGCGGGAGGGUCUCCACCGAACUCAUUGGCGGAGGAGCCGCAACCGUCGUGCCAUUGUUUGGAGGGCUAGGGGCAGUCCGAGACGCAUGGUUAACCACCACAUUUGAUGCAGGUCCGGACCCAGAGUUGCGGGUUCCCAGUGGCGCAACCCCAUAAUCGUUACCAUCAGAUUUAGAGGGCUUU